rnacentral:rRNA from 1 species
AUUGAAUGCUGGCGGUAUGCUUAACACAUGCAAGUCGAACGGUAACAGGCCUUCGGGCGCUGACGAGUGGCGGACGGGUGAGUAACGCGUAGGAAUCUGCCUGUUAGUGGGGGACAACGUGGGGAAACUCACGCUAAUACCGCAUACGCCCUACGGGGGAAAGCGGGGGCUCUUCGGACCUCGCGCUAACAGAUGAGCCUGCGUGGGAUUAGCUAGUUGGUAGGGUAAAGGCCUACCAAGGCGACGAUCCCUAGCUGGUCUGAGAGGACGAUCAGCCACACUGGGACUGAGACACGGCCCAGACUCCGUACGGGAGCAG